ACAAGCAGUGGAACAUGUGGUUCAAUUCGACGCUACGCGAAGAACCUCACCAGGGUUUGACAUAUAGGUAGUAGGAACCUGAAGGAGACGACUCGUUAAGCCGAGUGCCUAUACAGGUGUUGCAUGGCUGUCGUCAGCUCGUGCCGUGAGGUGUUGGGUUAAGUCCCGCAACGAGCGCAACCAUCAUCCUUAGUUGCUACCGAGGGAUCCGAAAGGGUCCUGGCGAGCACUCUAAGGAGACUGCCCGUGAUAAACGGGAGGAAGGUGGAGAUGACGUCAAGUCCGUAUGGCCCUUAUACCCUGGGCUACACACGUGUUACAAUGGGAUGUACAGAGCGUUGCCAAACCGCGAGGUGGAGCUAAUCGCAAAAAGCAUCCCCCAGUUCAGAUUGGAGUCUGCAACCCGACUCCAUGAAGUUGGAAUUGCUAGUAACGGCGGAUCAGCUACGCCGCCGUGAAUACGUUCCCGGGCCUU
rnacentral:rRNA from 1 species